CCGAAGCCGACCAGGAGCCCWGCCCCGCCCWGCGGGAAAGGGAACACUWGGGUUAACCCUUYYGUGAACCAAAAAAACCUUUCGCUUCGGCAGCUWGGGCCUGACCGCCCAUAAGCCUMGCCGCUYGGCACCCAAAACAAACCUGAUGUCAUAACUUAUGUCUGAUAACCAAAUUYUUCGAAUGAAAAUCAAAACUUUCAACAACGGAUCUCUUMGGUUCCCGCAUCGAUGAAGAACGCAGCGAAACGCGAUAGUUAAUGUGAAUUYGCAGAAUUCAGUGAAUCAUCGAGUCUUUGAACGCACAUYGCGCCCAUYGGUAUUCCUUYGGGCAUGUCUGUUUGAGCGUCAUUACAACCCCUCAGCUCUCGCUGGUUUUGAACCCGAACGGUUGACGCCGCGUCCGGUUUUAAAGUUGUAAGCUCUGCUGGCCGCUCUGCCAAACCAGAACAUAGUAAGCACUACUUUUGUUAGGGUGAAGCCGAACGGUACGGCCUGAACAAAACCUACCCCUUCUCAAGGUUUGACCUCAGAUCAGACAAGGAUACCCGCUGAACUUAAGCA
rnacentral:rRNA from 1 species